GGGACUCCUGGACAACCUGGUCUCCGUGGGAACAAAGGAGUUAAGGGAAUCCAAGGAAGCUCAGGACUCCCAGGUCUGAUUGGACGAAAGGGUCUAAGGGCAAAAGGGGAGA